GGUGGCUCAGUGGUAGAGUGCUUGCCUUGCAUGCAUGAGGCCCUGGGUUUGAUUACUCAGCACCA
rfam:Dipodomys ordii contig_61966, whole genome shotgun sequence.